AUACGGAGGGUGCAAGCGUUAUUCGGAAUCACUGGGCGUAAAGGACGCGUAGGCGGGUUUGUAAGUCAGGUGUGAAGUCCUACAGCUUAACUGUAGAACUGCACUUGAAACUACAGACCUAGAGUAUGGGAGGGGCAGAUGGAAUUAGUGGUGUAGGGGUAAAAUCCGUAGAUAUCACUAGGAAUACCGAAAGCGAAGGCGAUCUGCUGGAACAUAACUGACGCUAAGGCGUGAAAGCGUGGGGAGCAAACAGGAUUAGAAACCCUAGUAGUCC
rnacentral:rRNA from 1 species